AAUUAUACCGUGAAACUGCGAAUGGCUCAUUAAAUCAGUUAUCGUUUAUUUGAUAGUACCUUACUACUUGGAUAACCGUGGUAAUUCUAGAGCUAAUACAUGCUGAAAACCCCAACUUCGGGAGGGGUGUAUUUAUUAGAUAAAAAACCAACGCCCUUCGGGGCUUCUUGGUGAUUCAUGAUAACUUCACGGAUCGCAUGGCCUUGCGCCGGCGACGGUUCAUUCAAAUUUCUGCCCUAUCAACUUUCGAUGGUAAGGUAUUGGCUUACCAUGGUUUCAACGGGUAACGGGGAAUUAGGGUUCGAUUCCGGAGAGGGAGCCUGAGAAACGGCUACCACAUCCAAGGAAGGCAGCAGGCGCGCAAAUUACCCAAUCCCGACACGGGGAGGUAGUGACAAUAAAUACUGAUACAGGGCUCUUUUGGGUCUUGUAAUUGGAAUGAGUACAAUUUAAACCUCUUAACGAGGAACAAUUGGAGGGCAAGUCUGGUGCCAGCAGCCGCGGUAAUUCCAGCUCCAAUAGCGUAUAUUAAAGUUGUUGCAGUUAAAAAGCUCGUAGUUGAAACUUGGGCCUGGCUGGCAGGUCCGCCUCACCGCGUGUACUUGUCCGGCCGGGCCUUUCCUUCUAGAGAACCUCAUGCCCUUCACUGGGUGUGCUGGGGAACUAGGACUUUUACUUUGAAAAAAUUAGAGUGUUCAAAGCAGGCCUUUGCUCGAAUACGUUAGCAUGGAAUAAUAGAAUAGGACGUGCGGUCCUAUUUUGUUGGUUUCUAGGACCGCCGUAAUGAUUAAUAGGGACAGUCGGGGGCAUCAGUAUUCAAUUGUCAGAGGUGAAUUCUUGGAUUUAUUGAAGACUAACUACUGCGAAAGCAUUUGCCAAGGAUGUUUUCAUUAAUCAGUGAACGAA
rnacentral:rRNA from 1 species